CCUACGGGAGGCAGCAGUGAGGAAUAUUGGUCAAUGGCCGGAAGGCUGAACCAGCCAAGCCGCGUGAAGGACGAAGGUGCCAAGCAUUGUAAACUUCUUUUGUCAAGGGACAAAAUCAGGCUCGAGAGCCUGACCGAGGGUACUUGAAGAAAAAGCAUCGGCUAACUCCGUGCCAGCAGCCGCGGUAAUACGGAGGAUGCGAGCGUUAUCCGGAUUUAUUGGGUUUAAAGGGUGCGUAGGCGGACGGUUAAGUCAGCGGUAAAAGCCCGGGGCUCAACCCCGGCGAGCCGUUGAAACUGGCUGUCUGGAGAGGUCGAGAGGUAUGUGGAAUGCGCGGUGUAGGGGUGAAAUGCGUAGAUAUCGAGAAGAACUCCGAUUGCGAAGGCGGCAUACCGGCGGAGAUCUGACGCUGAGGCACGAAAGCGUGGGUAGCGAACAGGAUUAGAUACCCUAGUAGUC
rnacentral:rRNA from 1 species